GUUCCGCACUGCUGCUGGGCCCUGGGUACAGGAGAGACCCAAUGGAACACUGAGCCUCACCCACCAAUCACUGGGCCAAGCUAUGGACCUCCUCCUGCUGAAUCUGUGGGGGUCCGUCCCUGUAAAAGUUCAGGGGGCUUGAGGAGGACCAGACGGGGCUACCAUCUCAGCCUGGCCCAGUUCUUCCAGAGGCAGGGCAGGGAGCUCUGUAGCUGGCCUCAGAUCCUGGAGGAGCUCCCCUGGCACCUGGAGCAGAGUGAGGCCUGGAGGGAGCUACACACCUUCUUCAUAGAUCCACAAACUGUAGAGCACCUGUUUAUAACUUGGAGACAGUCUCCUCAGCUGAGAAUGGAUGUUGUCCGGUACUGGACUCUCCUGAUCCUCAGAGGUUAUGACCCCUACACCUCGUACCAGAGCCUGCUGGGUAAGGGAAUCCACCCUCGUUCUCUUGUCCAAUCAGGGCGAUGAGCAUUCCCUCCUGCUACAUAUACAGGAAGGGAGGAAGCAGAGCAGAUCCCACUGCAGGCUGAGAACAACCUCACACAGGCUGGUGAGCAGGACAGAAACAGGGAGAGUGUGAUGUUACUGCUGACAGCGCGGCAGACUUUGGCUGAGCUCUAUGGAGACGGACCAGCACAGAGAGGCAGAGACGUACUGUAGAUCAGCUCUGGAGACCGCCCAGACUCACACCGCUACCUGCCUUGAGAGACAUGAGAGAAUCACUGUUGGAAAGGGUCAGUUGCUUUGUGUACUCUGCCAGCUUGCUGUUUGUAGACGUCCGAACCAUCGAGGCCUCUCAGAUACUCAAUGGCAUCAUCAAUAUGGGACACCACAAACUCCACCUGUGUACUGACACCACUGUAUCACUGCUCUGUGGGAUACACAGACUCAGCCUGCAAGACCCACAUGGUGCUGAGAAGCACCUCCAGGUUGCCUUGGAAGACCAGGAGGCGCUGGUAUGGUAGAGAGCACCCUCUAGUGGUGGAGGAGUGCCUGGCAGACAUCUUGGCCCGACACCUGCGCUGACACAGCAGGUUUACUCAGUCAGUCACAGUAUAUGAAUGUUACAGUGUGGUGAAGAUGUGACGUGUUGAGGCAGAGGCUAGCAGUGGAGCUGUAUCGACACACGGUGCACGUCAAAGACCAGAACAUGAAGCUUUGUCCCCCCGCAUCGCCAUGUCUUCAGGCGAAGGGAUGCAGCCUCGCACGCACCUUGGUCAAACUUGGCAGGCAGAUAUGUCAUGGCUCCGGUAAUACAGAGAGUAGAGAGGCUGUUGAACUGCUGCAGAGAGCUCUGGACCUGUACAUCUGCUUCCUGGGGUCUGAUCACACACUGACCAGAGACUUACAACAGGUUUUAAACACAGAAUCCAGGAGACCUCUGACCACUUGGGUCUUCAGUUCCAGAACCCUCUCCCACCUCUCCACUAGGAGACUAAGCAGUGGGACCAGACCCAACACAGCCGCACCCCUCCACUCCCACCUGGCCUGGUACCGGGGCACCACACACACCCCUCUGGACCUCUCCGGAAAGAGAUUCCUGUCAGCCCCAUCCAACAAGUUCCGCAAUACACAGCCAGAACUGAAACCAGAACUGUGGAAUACCUGAACUACAUCAACAGACAGAACCAACUGUCUUCUUCUCCCAGGCCCUGGUCUGCCUUCCAGACCACAGUGUUUGGGCCACAGAGUGACAUCAGAAACCUGAUCUCAAACCCAGUCCUUCUUCAGCACCGGGCUUUCAUUCCAUAGACAGGACCCAAGUGCUGCAUAGGGCAGGCUGGUGCCACCUACCAGGCAGGUACGUUCUGGAGGAACGGACAGUAACAGCUUUGAACAGAGAGAUUGGAUCCCCUUUGCACACACAGAGAUGCACACCGCUGGUCAGACAGACAGGCCAGGGACAGGGAGGAGAACAGAGCUGGUCAGACAGACAGGUCAGGAACAGGGAGGAGAACAGAACUGGUCAGACAGACAGGCCAGGGACAGGGAGGAGAACAGAGCUGGUCAGACAGACAGGCCAGGGACAGGGAGGAGAACAGAGCUGGUCAGACAGACAGGCCAGGGACAGGGAGGAGAACAGAGCUGGAGAGACAGACAGGCCAGGGACAGGGAGGAGAACAGAGCUGGAGAGACAGACAGGCCAGGGACAUGGAGGAGAACAGAGCUGGAGAGACAGACAGGUCAGGGACAGGGAGGAGAACAGAGCUGGAGAGACAGACAGGUCAGGGACAGGGAGGAGAACAGAGCUGGAGAGACAGACAGGUCAGGGACAGGGAGGAGAACAGAGCUGGAGAGACAGUGUCUUAUUCUGCCAGGAGGCACUAGAGAGAAGAGAAAGAUCUAGAGAAGACUGCUCUCAUGGUGACCACUGAACUAUUUGAGUGUUUAUUCUUUUACCACUUUUGAUACCAAUCAGCUGUUUUUAUUUUUUCCAUAUAAUUUCAAAUAGAAUUGUUGCAUGUUUACAUGGAGUGAAAUGGCCCCUAUUUUGUACAGAAACUAAAUGAUUUGACUUCAUGUUGUCAAAUGAAUCGACCCUUUUUAGUUUUCUGUAGGGUUGCAUCUAAAUAUUGUUUUAAUGUUUUGUAAGAUGGUUAAGCUCCUCAUCCUGGUGUGCAACAACAUUGACCUUUUAUCUCAGAAGGCAAUACUUAUAGUAUUUCUAGUCAAGUGAGUGAUGUAAUCAACCAUUGUAAGCACUAGUAAACGAUGUGACCGAAAGCAUGAAUUGAGCAACAUGCUACAGAUGCUGUGAAGUAGGACUAAGCCAGUUUGGACCUUACCAUGUAAUGUAGAGUUUGGGUCAUACGUUCAAAGGUCUGUAUGUUUGUAUAUAUAUAUAUAUAUGUGUGUGUGUGUGUCUAUGUUUGUGUAGAAUUGAGUGUGUGUGUGUGUCACAGGAGGUUGGUGUCACCUUAAUUGGUGGAGGACGGGAUCGUGGUGGUGGCUGAAGCGGAAUUAGUGGAAUGGUAUCAAAUACAUCAAUACGGCCGGAAUGGUUCAUGCUGCGGGCGGGCAGUGGGUGGUCAGACGACUUCAGGAUGAAAAUGUUGUUUUAGUCCAGCCAGCAGAGGCUCAUGUUACACAGCCGGCUUGCGCACCUGCUUCUAACAGUGGUGGCAAAAACAAUGAUCCGAUGUGAUUGUGUUUGUGGCCAUUUAUGUGAUGAAUGAUAACAUGAUCAAAUCCUAUAGGAGUCCAAUAAGACUGGUUCCAAAAUCGGAUAGGAUUUGUAUAUUAGUAUCUUGUAUUGGAAUCCUAUAGGAUAGAAUGGUAAAGAGUCCAAUAGGACUGGUUCCAAAAUCGGAUAGGAUUUGUAUAUUAGUAUCUUGUAUUGGAAUCCUAUAGGAUAGAAUGGUAAAGAGUCCAAUAGGACUGGUACCAAAAUCGGAUAGGAUUUGUAUAUUAGUAUCUUGUAUUGGAAUCCUAUAGGAUAGAAUGGUAAAGAGUCCAAUAGGACUGGUACCAAAAUCGGAUAGGAUUGUUCUGUUGGUUUGUUGUAGAUUAAAUCCUAUAGGAUAUAAUCCCAUAGGAGUCCAAUAGGACUAGUUCCAAAAUCUGAGAGGAUUUUUCUGUUGGUCAUACUGCAAAUGAACUUGCAACCUUGAAUCCCUCCCAUGUUGUGGUGGUGUGUUGAAUAGGUUGAGAGGUGUGAGUACGUAAAUUUAUGGAGAUUGCGCUCCGGUUAAAGGCUUUCCUACACUGUACGUCAGAUUGUCUAUUACGAUUAUUACAUGUCACACUGUGUGAUGUUACCAAAUUAAAAUCAUAAUAUCAACUUGGCCAGAUUGUACGAUUUGCUUCAGUUCUGUCGAGAAAGUCUGCGAUGGCUAAAAUUGCAGAAAGGCUAUGACAAUGUUCUGCCAGUAUGAGUGUUUGGCUGAAAAUCUCCCUCCUGACAGAAUUCUCCUCCACGCACGUACUCAAUUCUUCAUUGCUGAGACUUCCUUGCUAGUUGAGAUUUCACUAGUAAUGUCUGCAGUUUUCGGGUUUGGCUAUUUGUUUCAAGUGUAUUAAUCUAAAAAUAAAUCUCUUUGCCA
ensembl:lncRNA